rfam:Bradyrhizobium sp. ORS278,complete sequence.
CCCCUGGUCCGGGCCCCUCUGGUGAAGCUGCCGGUGCGCUCACGAUGUCGGACCUGACGA